rnacentral:rRNA from 1 species
GACGAACGCUGGCGGCGUGCUUAACACAUGCAAGUCGAACGGACAGGCCCUGCUUGCAGGGUGCUCGCGUGGCGAACGGGUGAGUAACACGUGGAUGAUCUGCCACUUAUCUUGGGUUGAGCCUGGGAAACUGGGUCUAAUACUGGAGAGGACACUGCUGCAGGUGGUGUGGUGGAUGGUUUAGGUUCGGUAAGGGAUGAGGUAGCGGACGAUCAGCUUGCUGGUGGGGUAUUGGCAUACCAAGGCGUAGACGGGUAGCCGGCCGACGAGGAUGGACAGCCACCUGAGAACUGAGAGACGGCCCACACUACGACGGGAGGCAGCAGUGGGGAAAAUUUCACAAUGGGCGCAAGCCUGAGGCAGCGACGCCUUGGGAGGGUUGACGUCCGUCGGGUGGGAAACUCCUGUGAGCCAGGACGAAGCCCACGUUGUGACGGUAGUGUAAGAAGAAGCACCGGCUAACUACGUG